rnacentral:misc_RNA from 1 species
AAAGUCGUAACAAGGUUUCCGUAGGUGAACCUGCGGAAGGAUCAUUACUGAAUGACCUGGGUCAAUGACUCAGCAGCCCAUCAUCAGAAUUCGAUGCAAAUCCAAUGACUCGUCUCUUUGCCCCCAAUAUCCGGCAGCUCAUCAUCAUCAUCACCUUGGUGGAGUGAGCCGGGCUGCCCUUGAUCAGGAUGCUCAUUGCCCAGGCUGAAAUGCCCGUGCAGUUGGGUGGUGCGUGUUCAAGAGGUUGAAGUUGGUUUGAGAUUGAAGAGGGUUUAGAUGUCGGAUGCUGUUGUUUGUGGGCAGACAUUUGGUCUCCUAGGUACUUUUUUCACCACACAAAAAAUGUCAUCGUAUGGUGUUGCGCUUCAACACAUAUAAUAUAUAACUUUCAACAACGGAUCUCUUGGCUCUC